rfam:Fukomys damarensis contig161787, whole genome shotgun sequence.
ACAAAGGCUCUUUUCAGAGCCACCCACGGCGCUCCCUGGGAAGAG